ensembl:lncRNA
AGGUCUCUGGAGUUCCCAGGGCAAUGGGAAGGUGCUUCAGUUUCUACUUACUUGCUUUUUUCUUCCCUGCUUCCCUCUUCAAAUAGAAUCUUUAACUCCUGAAAAAUGAACCAUCCCGGACAAAUCCCCCGCAGGAGCUGGACACGCCCGACAGCACUGAGAUGGGGAAGAGGCCGGCCACUUUCCUGCUUGGUUUCUGUACCAUCCCAUCCCAUGUUUGUUUUUCAGUUGACAGUUCCAGUUCCUGUGCAGAGCCCUCGUCUGUGGACGGGCAGGUGGCUUGUUUCCUCCUCUGUUUUUUGGCCUUCGGCUACCCUGAGACUUCCUCCAAAGGUUUCUGUGUUUCUUUGCUCUCAUGGAUAACAUGGGGUUAAACUUCCUUUUGGAGGAGAUAAACCUUACCUGAGUCAUUCAAGGGCUUCUUGUUCUUGAGCUUUCUUUGUAGGUAUCAGGUUCACCCGGCUGGGCCUGGGGCCUCCCUCUGUCAUCUCAUCUGCCUGCUUAUCUCACUGGUUCAUUUCUCUCUUCUGAAUGCAGGUAUUAACCGGUCGAACUGUGCGUCCAGGAUAUGCAAGAUGAUGUUGCUGUUUUGUCAAAGGAGGAGCCCUUUACCUUCUUGCUAUUUGAAUGAGGAGAAAGGUCUAUUAAGUUUCACAGGAAUUUCCCAGCCUCCUCGCCUUUAGCCAGCCCCUCAGGAGACCUGCUCUUUCCUUGAACAAUGACAUUACGGCUGGAAGAUGAGUGAGGCAUCCACUCAAUGUGUUAACAAUAUGGAAAGGACCACGGUGGAAAGUCACUUAGAAGCUGACAGUGCCUGUUAAAGAAAAGAGGACUUUCAAAGACUGAGAAUGGGUGAAAACGGCUGAGUCCGGAUAUGAGAUGAGGAUCCUGCACCCAGAGAAGAAAAGACUUAACCUUUGUCACAAAGCUCGCAAUCCGCCUGGGACUAGAACCUACUCUCCUGCCUUGGACCCAGCCCUGACCUCUGAGCUCAGGUCCUGACAGCAGCUACUGGCCCCGGUGCCAUACUAGGGCAGAGAACAAAAUGAAAAAGUCCCAUCCUCAUGGGAUUUACAUGCUAGUGAGAGAGGCCGGAUGAAAAACAAGCAACUAAAUACGUCACAUGUAGAUGAAGAGACAUGUACUGGAAAAGUUCUGCAUGAAAUGGAGACAGCGUGUGUGGGGCACAGCAGCUGAGGCGACUGUUUUCCAGAGGGAGGUCUGCAAAUACUGUGUAGAAAGAAGCCUGCAGCUGCCCACCAACCACAGGCGGGCAAACGCCCGGGCACUCACCAUGUCAGUGCCUUUAUAAGUCUGGUUAAGGCGUGGUGAAGCUGAGCCAGAGGCAGGGGCCGCUCAAGGUUACACUGGCAGCAAGUGGGAGCCGGGAUUCAAACCCAGCUCUCUCACUGCAGGACCUCACGGUCUAAUCACCAUCAGGGCCCUUGGUCACUCUUACCUCUAUCGAUUUCAGUGGGAUUUAUGUUCUGGUCACCCAGAGUCUAGUUCCAGAGUCACUGCAAUUAGACAGGUGGAAAACUUACUUCACAAUCCUGGAAGUGGUUUCCAAUGAUGUGGCGUCAGUGAGAGGGGCCUAUAGCAAGUGACCUUGGAGUCACUGAUGUCUCAACGAAAGACACUGAGGAUGUGCUUAUUUAGCCUGUAGGUGACGCUACAUCACGCAGACCAAUGUGACAUCAUUCAACAGGAAGCACAAUCCCAGACAAACAGGAUAAAGGAGGGGGAGAGUGGGCACUUAGGCAACCAAAACCAUAAAAAUCAUUACAAGAUUGGUGAGCCACACUAUUUUAGAAGACCAGAGCUGAUCAUUAUGAGUCAGCAACAUCAUGUCGCUGUGGGAAUAGAGCUAAGACCAGCCAGGAAGGACGCAAUUCUUCCUCUAUGCUCUGCAAACAGUUGACCCUCCGCAUCCGCCGGAGUCCACAUCCGCGGAUUCAACCAACCUCAGAUGGAAAGUGCUGCGAUGGUUGCAUUCUGUACUGAAGAUGUACGGACUUCUUUUCUUAUCAUUAUUCCCUCAACAAUGCGGUAUAACAACUAUUAACAGAGCAUUUACAUUGUAUUAGGUAUUAUUCGUGACCUGGAGAAGAUUUA